AUUGAACGCUGGCGGCAUGCCUUACACAUGCAAGUCGAACGGCAGCACGGAGCUUGCUCUGGUGGCGAGUGGCGAACGGGUGAGUAAUAUAUCGGAACGUACCCUAGAGUGGGGGAUAACGUAGCGAAAGUUACGCUAAUACCGCAUACGAUCUAAGGAUGAAAGUGGGGGAUCGCAAGACCUCAUGCUCGUGGAGCGGCCGAUAUCUGAUUAGCUAGUUGGUAGGGUAAAAGCCUACCAAGGCAUCGAUCAGUAGCUGGUCUGAGAGGACGACCAGCCACACUGGAACUGAGACACGGUCCAGACUCCUACGGGAGGCAGCAGUGGGGAAUUUUGGACAAUGGGCGAAAGCCUGAUCCAGCAAUGCCGCGUGAGUGAAGAAGGCCUUCGGGUUGUAAAGCUCUUUUGUCAGGGAAGAAACGGUGGGAGCUAAUAUCUCUUGCUAAUGACGGUACCUGAAGAAUAAGCACCGGCUAACUACGUGCCAGCAGCCGCGGUAAUACGUAGGGUGCAAGCGUUAAUCGGAAUUACUGGGCGUAAAGCGUGCGCAGGCGGUUUUGUAAGUCUGAUGUGAAAUCCCCGGGCUCAACCUGGGAAUUGCAUUGGAGACUGCAAGGCUAGAAUCUGGCAGAGGGGGGUAGAAUUCCACGUGUAGCAGUGAAAUGCGUAGAUAUGUGGAGGAACACCGAUGGCGAAGGCAGCCCCCUGGGUCAAGAUUGACGCUCAUGCACGAAAGCGUGGGGAGCAAACAGGAUUAGAUACCCUGGUAGUCCACGCCCUAAACGAUGUCUACUAGUUGUCGGGUCUUAAUUGACUUGGUAACGCAGCUAACGCGUGAAGUAGACCGCCUGGGGAGUACGGUCGCAAGAUUAAAACUCAAAGGAAUUGACGGGGACCCGCACAAGCGGUGGAUGAUGUGGAUUAAUUCGAUGCAACGCGAAAAACCUUACCUACCCUUGACAUGGCUGGAAUCCUUGAGAGAUCAGGGAGUGCUCGAAAGAGAACCAGUACACAGGUGCUGCAUGGCUGUCGUCAGCUCGUGUCGUGAGAUGUUGGGUUAAGUCCCGCAACGAGCGCAACCCUUGUCAUUAGUUGCUACGAAAGGGCACUCUAAUGAGACUGCCGGUGACAAACCGGAGGAAGGUGGGGAUGACGUCAAGUCCUCAUGGCCCUUAUGGGUAGGGCUUCACACGUCAUACAAUGGUACAUACAGAGCGCCGCCAACCCGCGAGGGGGAGCUAAUCGCAGAAAGUGUAUCGUAGUCCGGAUUGUAGUCUGCAACUCGACUGCAUGAAGUUGGAAUCGCUAGUAAUCGCGGACCAGCAUGUCGCGGUGAAUACGUUCCCGGGUCU
rnacentral:rRNA from 1 species